AUUGAACGCUGGCGGCAUGCCUUACACAUGCAAGUCGAACGGCAGCACGGGUGCUUGCACCUGGUGGCGAGUGGCGAACGGGUGAGUAAUACAUCGGAACAUGUCCUGUAGUGGGGGAUAGCCCGGCGAAAGCCGGAUUAAUACCACAUACGAUCUACGGAUGAAAGCGGGGGACCUUCGGGCCUCGCGCUAUAGGGUUGGCCGAUGGCUGAUUAGCUAGUUGGUGGGGUAAAGGCCUACCAAGGCGACGAUCAGUAGCUGGUCUGAGAGGACGACCAGCCACACUGGGACUGAGACACGGCCCAGACUCCUACGGGAGGCAGCAGUGGGGAAUUUUGGACAAUGGGCGAAAGCCUGAUCCAGCAAUGCCGCGUGUGUGAAGAAGGCCUUCGGGUUGUAGAGCACUUUUGUCCGGAAAGAAAUCCUUGGCUCUAAUACAGUCGGGGGAUGACGGUACCGGAAGAAUAAGCACCGGCUAACUACGUG
rnacentral:rRNA from 1 species